GCCGAAUAAGAGCGCUCGGAUUUCUCCACACUUUUACUGCAAGCUUUAGACGUUAGAAAAUCGACCUUCCAAGUACUCAGCUUGGGAGGGAAAGGUGAAAGGGCUGGAACAUAUGGAGGUGGAGUCGUGGUUAAGUACUCACUGCAAAUACUGAUCAGCUGGAGACCAGAGGCAAUCCAAGCGUUGGCUGACUUUGGGAAACUUCCCAUACUCCUCCCUGUGUUGAACCAGAAAAUUGCCAGCAGAAAAUGAGCAGAGACUUGGAUUUAAAG
rnacentral:lncRNA from 1 species